AGAUCUGAAGCCAAAACGAGAAAAUGGGCAUCCAGGACUGCUUCCCUCGCUCGGGACACUAUUCAGAAAAGAAGGAAAAUGCACACAUUACAAAAAAACACAUGAUCAACAGCGUUGCUUCAGAGUGACAGUGAAUGAGAGAAGGAAACAGGGACCAUGCUGGAGAACAUUCCAGGCCUGCCCCAGGCUCCCUCGCCCAGCAACCCCCACUGAGCCUGUGAGGAAAAUGCAAACCUCCCUGUCACGGCUGCUGGAAGCCUCCAACAAGUUAAAACCGAGGACAUCAAAUCCAUAAAAGCCAAGGAUCUAGAAUUCUGUGUUUGAGGACCACCUCCUAGCGCCCUGCUGAGUGAAUCAUUUUGCCCAUAAGAAGUGACUCAGUCAGCAAAGUGGGAAGAGCCAAGGGGUAAGUGACCUGUAGACUGGGAACUAAGAAGAUGCACAAUACAGUGUCAAGGGAGGGGAUGAGUCAGGAGGAACCUGGAGGGGACGCCUGGGGGCCCAGGCGUGGGGGAGAAGAAAAAGCUCCAGAGGGUGAAAGGCGAAGGCUCAGCUCUGGAAGGUUUUGAUUACAGUUAGCAAACGUGGAAGACUGUGAAGGGGAAUAGUACGGAGUCUGUGACCAGAGCUAGAAAGACACAAAUGUGAGAGCAUAUGGACAGAAAAAUGUUAGGAGGAGACAUUUAAACCAUUAGCCACACCAGGGAAUGACUAGAAAUCCAGGUUCUGGCCCUGGAAGAAUGAGGAAUUCUGGGGUGGGGCAGCCCAAGUUCUGUUGAUGCUUUUUUUUUAACCGCUGGCUUUGCAUUCUCCCUUCCCGUUCUCAUGGAACUGCUGGAGAGAGGCCCAGAGGGUCCUGUCCUAGGGCUCUGGGACCCAGUGCCCACAUCAGGGGACACCCUGACCUGUCCUCUGCCAUUGAACAAACUGCUGCUAACCACUGCGGCCACUUUUAAUUCAAACCAAGAUGGUUUUUGAAAGCCCCCUCUUCCCAUGGUCUAGAGCUCAGUGCUCUGAGAUUUCUCUCUUUCUCUCAUACCCCUGACUGGAGACCAACAGGUCCACUUGAAGACACGGCCACACAGACCUCAAGAUGGGUGGGUGGUGGCGGAGGGACAGGAAAAGAAACAGGAUGUCAGAGGCCAGCUCAGUUCUUCCUUAAUUCAUCCAUUCAACAAAUGUAUCCUGGGAUACAGCAGUAAAUACCGUAGAAAGAUAAAAGAUAAUACAUGUAAAGUUCUCAACCUUGAGCACGCUUUUGGGGCUUGUUAAAAUACUGCUGCCCCCAUCCCCAGAAUUUCAUGUAAAGCCCUAUGUUUAGAGAAUGGGAAGGGCAAUAAAUGUAUAAUCGCUACAGCGAAAAAGGUUCCAAAACUAGUAAAGCACUAUUAUAAAUGUG